GCUAAAUGAAUAAUAAAAAAAUGGAGCAAUUACAUGGAACCACAAGAAGUAAAGGUUGAGAAUGAGAAGAAAGGAAAUGAAAAAUAAAAAAUAUAAAAAUAAAAAUACAUUUUAAAAAAUAAAAAUAAUUAAAAAUUAAAAAUAAGAAAGAAAUUAAAAUAAUAGAAAUAAAAAAUAAAUUAAAAAUAAAAAUACAUUUUAAAAAAUAAAAAUAAUUAAAAAGUAAAAAUAAGAAAGAAAUUAAAAUAAUAGAAAUAAAAAAUAAAUUAAAAAUAAAAGAAAUAAAAAUAAUAAAAAUAAAAAAAAUUAAAAAAGAAAGAAAGAAACAAACUAAAAAGUAAUUAACUGUGGCUUUCCAAACAGGCCCUUAAUUUUUAUCUUUGUUGACUGUGUAGACUACUUUAAGUUAGAUGUAGAUGCAGGCCUAGGAAUGUGCAGCACUCUGUUUUGGAUUAGUGUUUGUGCUUUUCAGGAAAGUUCACACGAGGAAGCAACAACAAAAUUAUGAAAGGACAAGGGCGGACCACCGGACAAACUCCUGCGCCGACAUCACCCAUCUCCUAUCGCCUAUCACCUAUCACCUAUCACCUUUUCCCUUUUUGAAGACGUUUCCAAAAGCUGUAAAGGGAGAGAUUCUUAAAUCCUUCGAUCUGGAGAUAAUCGUCCUUCAAUUCGAUGAACAAUGGCAAGAACCACCAUACUCUACACCCCAACGGCUCUUUCCCUUCCCAAUCAGUCUGAAAAGUUUCUUUUCAAGUUCUCUGCUGAAAUAACAAGCUCUUCGAGCGGAUUCGAAGACUCGACGACGACAAUAGCCUCAGUUCGUUGUCCUGGAAAAGGUUAGUGGUCGCCCUUGCUUCACUUUUGUUUUCGGUUGUUAGGAGUAUAUAUCGAUGUAGCUAUUAAAUAAUUAUUCGCAGUUUUGCCUAUUUGAGCUUGUUUUGCUGCUGUGUGUCUGAAUCCGCAUAUAAAAGAUCGCUAAGAAUACAUGAAGGAACUAUCGAAUAAAUUGUGGAACAUGUGAAUGAGCUCGUCGCUCGUUUAAAUCUUGUUUCAUAUUUUUGUUAUAAUCUCUUUUGUUAUGUAUGUCAAAUCAGUAUGUAUUGUGGCCAAAUAGAGCUAAAGAUAUAGUAAUCAGAUUGUUUGUUGGUUGCUGGUUUGUCCCCUGUUUAUUUCGAAUUUGGUUGGUUUUAAAUAGUAGAUGAAUAGGGGUAAAGAAGACUAACUGCUCCUGGAAAAAUGGCAGUUCGAUUUUUCCAACAUUAGCAUCCUUUUUUUUUUUUUUUUUAAAAAAAAAACUCCAUCCAUUAAUCUAGAGGGACUAUUUUAUCUAUAUCUAGAAGAAAAGAGUACAUAAAGAUUUUGGCGUAAUUCGUGAGUUUUCAAAAGCCAACUUGUUGACCCUUUAGGAUAUAAAACUGCGUCUGAGUCGGUGUUUGUAUGGAUUCUGAAACAUCGUGGUGGAAAAAGCUGUCCGCGUCGUUCUGUUCAGUAAAAAGGUCAUAACUCUUGAUCCCGAUAUCGUGUGAGGGCCCACGACCUAUUGUUGAAAAUAUCUUUCAAUUAUCUACAACUUUCAUUCUUAGUGUUUUUCCAAAUUCCAAACUUAAAAUGGCGUUUUGGCCCCUCCAAGUCAGAUCAUCCGAAAAUGUUUCCUUAAAUCGCCCUUUUGGAUGGCUUAUGCCCAUAUUUGUCUUAUGGGUUCUUUUUAGGACUUGCUCAACUUUCUAUGUACUACUCUUAUAUCUCUUCAUAUGUCCUUUAUAAAACCUCACCAAACGAUCCUUAACACAAAAAUUUACGGAACCUUUCCUAAACCUCACUUAUACUCCACUUGUCCUUAUCGAUUCUUAUUUCAUCAAUCCAUAUAACUUCAAGAUCUUAACGUAUGCAUUCUAAAACCACUAAUUAUCCGUCUUAAAAUCUUAAGAUCUUCCUAUUGUCCUUAAGCCCGCGUUGGUUCAUUCACUAUGCGACGACAUGAAAUUUUCGAGGUGUAACAUUGAAAUUAUGAGUGAAAAUGCAUAUCCAACACCUACUAAUCUACAUUAUCUACCCUACUCACCCCUUGCGAUAAAUAAGGCAUAGAUUAUCCAUUCUUUAAUUUUUUGGUCUUAUUACCACAAGUGUUCAAUAACUAAAGCUGCUGAAUUUGAAACUCAAGUGGAGCAAGAGGGCUACGCCCUUAGAGGCCCUUGGCUUGUCCAUCUGGAUUGGGCAUGAACGAGCCUUAACUAAACCAACAUGAUGAAAAAAGAUUAAUGUCCCCACAUGCUUCAUUUAACUGAUGUAUGAUUCAAAAUCAGGUCUAGGUUUCGAGUCAAUCAAUAUGAUUCAAAAUCAGGUCUAGGAUUCGAGUCAAUCAACCUUUGCUCUCAAGUCUCAUGUCAAUAGAGAAAUGGUUCGUGUUUGUUGUUCAAUAUCUAAACUACUAAAAAAAAAAAAAUUGACUAGUUGCUCCUCCGCCCUGAAGUAGAUUCCACGGGAAGUGCAAGGAAAGUGUUCGCGGUUGUAAAGGUUCAAAUUGGUUGAACUUAAAGUGCUAAUUUACUUCUAACUACUCACAACUUCAAUGCAUAAUUGUCUAUUUCAAAUGGACUGGUCUUUAACUUUUGUCCUUCAAACGGGAUGUCCUUAGUUUUUGACCUUCAAAGUCGAACUUAUACCUAUAGGGAUAUAAGUUAAGGCAGCUGACAUAACUUGUGGAUCUUAUGAUGUGCAACUUUUAUGCCCCUAUAGCAAUAGGAGUCCGCAACUUAAAUGACUCCAAAAGUGGAAUUUUGAUCCAAAAUAACCCACAAAAAAAGGUUAUCAAAGUACCUUUUGCGCACAAAAUUAGUGCACAAUAGGACUUAACUGUGACGGUCACCGUCAAGUCCUAUUGCCAACUAAUUUUGUAUGCAAUAGGGGUUAGUUUUAUUUUCCCCACACUUUGACACAAAGUUUUGAAAUUCACGUUUUUUCCAUACUUUGACCAAAGAUUAGUCAUGUGUCAAAACUCCGAAAUAUCAAUAUUUUAUAUAGAAUCUGUAUCUCUUUCUGUGAACAACAAUGUAGGCUCAAUACAUCAAGUAUUCUUAAAUGUUUGGAUCGUCGUUUUAGGGUUUGUAAAGUGUCCCGAAGUAAGUUUUGGUUGGAAACUUAUUAUCGUUAGGUUUAAGUGUUGUUUUAUAAGGUUUUGAUUUAAGCAUUUUAUUAUUUAGUCAAAGCAUUGCUUUAUUUCGAAUAUGUCGAGAUUUUUUUCAUAAUUAAUUUAGGACGUCACACGAGUUAUUAAUAAAUGAUAAUAAAGACUAAGAUAAAUAAUUAUCAUUAAAAAAAUAAUAGCAAAAAAAAAACACAUUACAAAAGUAGACUUCAUCCACUGGACGUCCUGGCUUUCUUUUUAGUUUUUCAAUCUUCUGUCUUGCAGAUGCAAAUCAUAGAUGAUCUAGUGGCAUUUAUCUAGAUUAUACUUUUUCGUGAAUUUCUUAUCUGUAAAUUAUUAGGUGUACGAGUUUUCUAUUUGAAUUGUUACCAACUAUUUUUUAAAAUACAUCUCAAUUAUCAAUUGUUCUCUUUUUCUACUUUAAGUUGUGGUAGGAAAAAAAACAACGGAUAGGAGUACAAGUAAGAUAUGCCUUUGCUAUGCUGGGGCCAACAUGACCACUAUUAUGGUCUUAAAUCUUUUCUAAUAGUUAAAAAAUGGUGAUAUGUAUAAUGUUUUUUUAAUCUUUCCUGUAUGAUAUAAUUUUAAUCUUCAAUUUGGUAGUAAUAUUUUACCAUUGGAUCUUCCAAAGCCACUGAGUUUAUAUUAUAUUCUUUCAUUUUAUUGGUAGUUUAUAAAUACUAUUCUGCCAAAACAUCAUAUGGAAAUUAGGGGCCCAAAUUCGUCAGAUUUUAAUUGUCAAAUAGUUUUGUAAUUGUGUUUGCUUUUAAACUCAGGAGGGGAAUAUAAUAUUUAAGCUCAUACUACUAAGUUAUAGAUAUGCAUACGUGGAUGCAUAUGAGGGGGACCCACUAAAGUCUGUUUUGAAGAUAGUGUUGAGCCGACUGAAAUUUUACUAACCAAUAAAAAGGGAUUGUGGCAACAAAUCACCUACCACGAGUUGGUUUCGCUAUCGAAAAAUUGUGUGGAAUGCAACAAUAGAAUUAAUCAUGACAUAUUAUCACAAACAGAUCCUAUGGCAAGGUAUUCUAGAUGUAAUGUAACAAAAUACAUAAUCACAGGGGCGGAAACACCAGAAAUAAGGUGACAUAGUAUAGUAUAUAUAAUAUAACAUCAGAGUCUGAGAGUAAAAAAUACAUGAAAGAAAUUAGAUCAAUUAAAGGAAUUACUGCACUAUUUCUUCUUGCUAUCCAUGAUAGUUCUUGACAUAUCACUUCCACAAAACAUACAUAAAGGAUAGAUUUAGGAAUAUAAAAUCUACCAACGUUUUGCAAUCAUGAAUAGAUAAUUAAAUCACAAACUGUUCGGAUACUAAGUUACGAUUAAAUCACUUUAUUUUCAAGACACAAUAACUAUCAAAUAACAAUUCUAAAAUCAAACUAAAAAACUCAAAAAAAAAAACAAACAAACAAACAAAUUAAAUAUAUAUUGAAAGGAGGUGAUUUGAGGAACGAUUCAAGUACCUUUUAAACAAAUAGAGGAGAAAAUCUUCAAAAGAUUGACUAGUCUAUAUACAAUCACAAAACUAACUAUUUGUCACCGUCUUUUAUGAUGAUGAAUGUGAAAUCGUUGCUUAUUUUAUUGAAGUAUUCGGCUCCUUCAUCUAAAUGGAUUGAUGCAAUUUGUUAACGUUUGUUAGGACUCCAAAAAUAAUGGUGUUUUUUUUUUUACUUUUCCACAAAAUAAAAUAAAAUAUAUAUAAAGAUAAUUAGAUAAUUAUUUGAGAAAAAUAAUAAAUGAUGAUUUUAUCUAUUGCAGAGUCUUUAAUAAAUGGCAAAAAGUUUAAUCAAUAUUUCUAAGAUAUUCGUGCUUUUAUAGAUACUAGUUUCUAUAAACGUGCAGUUGCACGUUGUUCCCAAACGAUCGCAAUCAUAGUAAAAAAUAUUAAAUAAUAUCAUUUAUAUUAAUUAUAUACAUUCAUUUGAUGAGUUAUAAGAUAUUUAACUUUAAUUUUUUAUUUUAUUCUUAAUAAAAUGAUUUAUAGCCACACAAAUAUCUAUGAUUGGUCUUAGAUCAUAAAUUUCAAGGCCUUUUUUUGUUUCUUAUACUAUGUGUCUAAUUAAAUACUGUCAUAUAAAUUAGAUACGAAGAAAUAGUAUUCUUUCCAAGAAUGAAAAAGCAAUUACUUUUUAAGUAGUAAAAGUGAACAUGAAAAUAAUACCUUAAGACCAUCGAUGAAUCCUAACAUUAUAGCUUCAGAAGUUUACAACUUUGCAAUAUUCAUGUACUUGUGAUUCUAUGCGAUUAGACAAAGUAACAUAAUACUCUCAGAUCAAAUGCUUAUGAGUUAUUUUCUUCUUUACAACGUCAUCAAACACAUAGUUUAGCCAAAGAAUUAAAUAUAAGUACCAUUCAAUUAUUUUAUACUUUGUAAUUAUUAGGCAAAGUUGUAAAUAUUAUUACAAGGUUUUGAAGGGUUACAAAGUUGAAUUACACAACUAUAUAAAAAAUAUACAAAUCAAAGAGCACAUUUAUUAUUAAAUUAAGAAAAUGUAAAUACGUAGUAUAUCUGUAUAUGUUGUGCCUUUGCCUAGUCAUAAAAAUGAUCUGGUAAAUGACACUACUAUAGUACUAUGUAUGUUUUUCUUCUCUUUUGGUCGAGGUGAAAAGAGAAGACAACUGAUGUUUUAAAUGUGAUGUUCUGAAAAGUUAUUAGAAUUCCAAUUUGUUUCCUAAUCAUAAUUACAAUAGGAGUAUAAAGCAUCAAUACACCAAAGCAUGUUACUCCGAUUUGAACUCCAAUUAACGAAAUAUACCUUUUAAGUUUUCGCACAUUAAAUAUCAUAAAUAUUUUAGAUGGUUAGGAAUAUUCUGGUCUAUCAACAUUAUUAUUCGUGCUUUUAUAAUAACAAGGAUUAAUUCCCACUUUAUGCAUUUUUUUCUCCUUUUUUUAGUAAUACACUCAAUGUUUUAGAAAUCUUAGAUUCGCCUCUAAUUAUUGUCCAUGUGAUCAAUUAGAUCAAUUAGAGUAUCCGGCACAUGCUAUUAAGUCACAAUUUAUACAAAUCUAUAUAGAGUCCGUUUGGAUUGGCUUAUAAGUUGUUUAUAAGUUACUUAUAAGUUGUUUUCAGUUUUUUUGAGUGUUUGACUGGCCAACUUAAAGUCAUUUUGUGCUUAAAAUAAACUCAAAAAAAUAAUUGGGCCCAUUUGACUUAGCUUAUCUAAAGCAGCUUAUAAGCCAAAAAAAAUAAGUUAGACUACCCCAACUUAUUUUUUUUAGCUUAUAAGCUGUUUUCAGCUUAUAGGCAUAAGCCCAUCCAAACAGGCUCAUAAUUGAAACCUGAAAAUAUAUUAUUAUACAAACCCAUUUAGAGAAAUAUAUUAUUAUACAAACCCAUUUACAGAAAAGGACGAAUUAUUAGAAGUAUACUCAAACCCUUCAUCCAUGAAUAUUAUAUUAUUGGAAUUAGUAUGACAAUAAAUAAAUAUUACAAUUUUGUCCUCUUGAUUAAAAAAUUAAUGUAAUUUUAAAGGGCAUAAAAAUCGUUCAAUAUUUUAAGAAUAUUUUGAUAAACUAAUAUUUAUAUUCAUGCUUUUAAAAUAAUAGUGAUAGUGAUUGAUAUUGUAAGUCAGGAUCAGCCGGAAGCAAUUGGCUGUGUUUGAAAGGAUGAAUGAGAAAUUUCGUAUGCUUACAAAAUAUCUGACUGCAAAGAGUGUGUCAAGAGAGUAGUAAAUCUAAAAAUGUGAAUGCUUUCAAUUUCUUCAUUUUAUUUCAUCAUUGCCUUCAGGCUUUUUAGUUAACAGUCAUUUUCCUUCUGAAAUUGUCCAAAUAUAAGAUCAUAAUCGUUGUAAAAAAUCUCUCCCUCUAAUUUAACGCCGACUCUGUUAUGGAAUAAUACGAGGAAAAACAGUCAUGUGUUUUGUUUUUCCAAUUUAUUUUUUAUACUAAUUGCAGUAGGCCCGUGCUAAAUUUGGGUUCAAACUUAAAAAAUAAAACUAGCACGUAAUUUUUAUCAAAUAAGUAUAAUUUGUGUUACAUAUGCUUACUACAUAAUUAAUUUAAUGUAAUUGCAUGUUAAACAUAAAUUUUCAUAAUUAUUAAAGUUUUUUUGUCAUAUAAUUGAAUAAUUUUUAACAAAAAAAUUAUUUAUGAAAAAGCAAGUUUGGUAUGAAAAUUAGCAAGAAUCAAAGGGACGUACGUAAUUUAUGCUUAAAAGGAUUACUUCUUAAGAAUUAAUUUAAUUCUUCAUAUAUACUUUAUGCUUAAAAGGAUUAGCUCCUAGUUAAUCAAACAUGAUUAUAAAGCUAAUUCAAUUUUGACUGAUAAUGUUACCUUCAUCUCCAAUACUAUACAAUACCAUUCAAUAAGUUUUAUUUUUUGUAUUUGUAAGCAUAUGUGAUCUCACUGAAGAAGUAAAAUUUUGAAAGUUUAAAAUAAUAGAGAGAAAAUGUUGGUGAGAAAUAUAUUAUAUGAUAUGUUUAAUAUAAAAUAAGACCUAAUAAAUGCUUCAGUUGAAAAAGAACAUUUGACGCCAACUUAUUUUUUAAUUUCUUGAGUAGAAAUUGGAAGUGGAUUACAACUACAUUUAUCUCAUUAUAUGCAGCUCCUCAUUAUAUGCAGCUCCUCCUGAUGUCAUUACAAAAGAAAGAUCAUUUCCCGUACGGUUGUCAAAGAUUAAAAGAAAGUAAAACAUUCACCUGUUGGUAAAACUAGUAAUAUAACAUAAAAAAGGUAAAGAAAGUUGUAAUGAAAAGGUUAAGAAAGUUGAUAUAAAAUUAACAUAGUGAUACUACUACGUACUUGUUUUGUCCAUUUGCGAAAUGAUCGGUCCAUAAUAUGUCAGUUGCUACUGAUGGAUACCCCAUUAUAGUGGGCCUGGGUGGGUUUGGGGGGUGGGGGAGCGCAGGGGCCCUUCUUGUCUUCUUAGUAGAAAGACAAAAUCCAAAGCAAAUUUAAAUAUUCAUGGAAGCACCAAAUCUAGAAAUUCCUGAAAAUAAUAUUUAUAUUUUGUACUGGUAAUAGAUUUGUUUAUUUACCGGAAACAGAGAAUGUUCAUAUUAGCAUUCUUUCUUCAAAAAGAGAAAAACACAAGGACAUCAUGAGAUUUUUUAUAUAAUAUAUAGCCGCACUGUCGGACUUGCAGCAACAAAAGGUCUGAUGACAACUAUCAGAAUCAUUAUUACACACUUGAAAUACCCACAUAUACCCCUUUGUCAGGGAAAGUACCUCUGCUUUAAGCCUUAUAUACAAACGAAACUUAUAAUACAAAAGAAAAUAGUGCGCACUCCUGUAAACAAAGAAAUGAAAAUGCAUGAACCAAAAAAAAAAAAAAAGAA